rnacentral:rRNA from 1 species
AGGGAUUCCCCUAGUAGUGGCGAAUGAAGCGGGAAAAGCUCAAGUUUGAAAUCCGUGGCUUGCCUCGGAGUUGUAAGCUGAAGAGGUAUCGACCGACUCGGUCCGGGCCCAAUUUCCUUGGAACAGGAGGUCAUGGAGGGUGAGAACCCCGUCUGUGGCUCGGGUGCCGUAGUCCUUGUGUCGUGUCCUCGAAGAGUCGGGUUGUUUGGGAAUGCAGCUCAAAAUGGGUGGUAAAUGUCAUCUAAGGCUAAAUAUUGGCGAGAGACCGAUAGCAAACAAGUAGAGUGAUCGAAAGAUGAAAAGUACUUUGAAAAGAGAGUGAAACAGUACGUGAAAUUGUUGAAAGGGAAGCGUUUGGCAUCAG